GCGUCAGUAGCUCAAUUGGCAGAGUUCCGAACUCCAAAUCCGGCGGUUGUAGGUUCGAUUCCUACCUGGCGCG
rnacentral:tRNA from 1 species